UUAUUCGUGUUAUAACACCCCAUAUUGAUUUAUCUAGAAUAACAAUAGGAGCAUACAUAACUAAAUUAGGAUACAUUAAAAUUUUGCGGAAUAAAUUGGGUUCUCCACAAGAUAGUAUGAGGAAAAUACCAACAUUACAUGGUUUAACUAAACUGAAUAGACUGUCAUAAUGUAAGUGUUAACAACUUUACAUUAGAACCAUGGUAACUGAUAAAUACAUGUACAUGUGGCAUAUUCCUAUAUAAUAGUUUCUUAAACUGGAAGGUAAUCAUGAACAGAUUUCUAUAAUCUCGCCGAUUCGUCCAGUCCUCAGCUUCUUGAACGAACAACCUGUUACCUAUAAUCAAUAAUCGUGGGGUGAGACUACUAAGCCUCAGUGAAUUUCUUACUACCCACAACUUGGUGUGCUAACACCGGGGUCCUGAAAAUAGCUGAUCACUGAUAAACAUAUAUUCAUUAAAGAAUAACAUAACAUAAAUAAAGGUGUAUCACACAAUUAUAAUCUUAUUCAUUUUACAGGAAGCUUUCGAGGUGAGUAUGUCUCGAAAGAUCCACUAAGG
rnacentral:lncRNA from 1 species